rnacentral:tRNA from 1 species
GCGGAAGUGGCGGAACUGGUAGACGCGCAGGAUUUAGGAUCCUGUGCCUUAGGGCGUGGGGGUUCAAGUCCCCCCUUCCGCA